CUGAUACAGGUUAUCAGCCCUAGAGCUGAUACGGAUCCGUAUCACACCCCUUGCCUUUUUUCCGUUUCGGCAUUUGUGCAUGUUUACAGAAGGAAACUAAAACAUUUCUUACGUCAACAUUUUUAAAUGCAGUUGAACACUUCAGUUUUGGAGCAGUUAAUUUUAAAACACAGGAAAUUCCGGUUCAGUAGCUACAUGUUUGGUAAAACAACAAGAUCUCAUAUUUUAUUUAAUACAUGUACAGACUACUUUCAAAUAAUAUUUAAAAUCAAUUUGUUCAAGUUGAUGCCUUUUUAAUUUUUUUAUUACUAAGUAUGUAAUAAAUUUAAUAAUAAAUACCCCUUUCAAUAUCUAAGCCUGUAUCAGGCCUCGACCAAUAUCAUCCCUCGGGCCUUUGGCCCUCUGGCUGAUAUUGGAGUCUCGGGCUGUUACUGUCUGUGAUAUGGAAAAGGGUAUGUAUUAUUCUCUAUUUAUAUUGUGGAAAUUUGUUUUUCUUUAUAAAUCAGUUUCAUAUUUAGUUUGUAUUGAAUACAUGUAUAUCUGAUAGGUACAAAAAGUUUGUUAUAGAAAUAAAAAAUAA
rnacentral:misc_RNA from 1 species